rnacentral:rRNA from 1 species
UGGCGAACGGGUGAGUAACACGUGGGUAAUCUGCCCUUCACUCUGGGACAAGCCCUGGAAACGGGGUCUAAUACCGGAUAUCACUUGCGCAGGCAUCUGUGCGGGUUGAAAGCUCCGGCGGUGAAGGAUGAGCCCGCGGCCUAUCAGCUUGUUGGUGAGGUAACGGCUCACCAAGGCGACGACGGGUAGCCGGCCUGAGAGGGCGACCGGCCACACUGGGACUGAGACACGGCCCAGACUCCUACGGGAGGCAGCAGUGGGGAAUAUUGCACAAUGGGCGCAAGCCUGAUGCAGCGACGCCGCGUGAGGGAUGACGGCCUUCGGGUUGUAAACCUCUUUCAGCAGGGAAGAAGCGCAAGUGACGGUACCUGCAGAAGAAGCGCCGGCUAACUACGUGCCAGCAGCCGCGGUAAUACGUAGGGCGCAAGCGUUGUCCGGAAUUAUUGGGCGUAAAGAGCUCGUAGGCGGCUUGUCACGUCGGGUGUGAAAGCCCGGGGCUUAACCCCGGGUCUGCAUUCGAUACGGGCAGGCUAGAGUGUGGUAGGGGAGAUCGGAAUUCCUGGUGUAGCGGUGAAAUGCGCAGAUAUCAGGAGGAACACCGGUGGCGAAGGCGGAUCUCUGGGCCAUUACUGACGCUGAGGAGCGAAAGCGUGGGGAGCGAACAGGAUUAGAUACCCUGGUAGUCCACGCCGUAAACGGUGGGAACUAGGUGUUGGCGACAUUCCACGUCGUCGGUGCCGCAGCUAACGCAUUAAGUUCCCCGCCUGGGGAGUACGGCCGCAAGGCUAAAACUCAAAGGAAUUGA